rnacentral:rRNA from 1 species
AUAACAAUGCGGGACUCUUAUGAGGCUUCGUAAUUGGAAUGAGUACAUUCUAAAUCCUUUAACGAGGAACUAUUGGAGGGCAAGUCUGGUGCCAGCAGCCGCGGUAAUUCCAGCUCCAAUAGCGUAUAUUAAAGUUGUUGCGUCUAAAAAGCUCGUAGUUUGAAAACUUGCCUUGGCUUACAACAGACGUCUAAGGGCGUCACCGUUUGUCGAGAGCAAAUAUGGGUGACUGUUCUUGCCUUCUUCACUGAUUGGCUCGUAAAAGUCAUCGAAGAUCACUUUGAUUAAAUUAGGGUGCUCAAAGCAAGUGUGCUACUUGAAUAUGAAUGCAUGGAAUGAUGGAAUAUGUUGUUGUUCUAUUUGUUGGUUUUUUUAAUGACGAAAUGAUUGAAAGGAACCGUUGGGGGCAUUCGUAUUGUUGUGAGAGAGGUGAAAUUCUUAGACCAUAGCAAGACGAACUACUGCGAAAGCAUUUGCCAAGAAUGUUUUCAUUGAUCAAGAACGAAAGUUAGAGGUUCGAAGGCGAUCAGAUACCGCCCUAGUUCUAACCAUAAACUAUGCCGACUAGCAAUUUGCUUUGUAUUUUUAUGACUAAGUGAGAGGCCACGGGAAACCAAAGUAGGGUUAUGGGGGAAGUAUGGUUGCAAAGCUGAAACUUAAAGGAAUUGACGGAAGGGCACCACCAGGAGUGGAGCCUGCGGCUUAAUUUGACCCAACACGGGAAAACUUACCUGGUCCUGACACUAGAAGGAUUGACAGAUUGAUAGCUCUUUCUUGAUUUGGUGGAUGGUGGUGCAUGGCCGUUCUUAGUUGGUGGAGUGAUUUGUCUGGUUAUUUCCGAUAACGAACGAGACUCUAGCCUAUUAAAUAAUAUGCGGAAUCAAUUUCUCCCGCGUUAUUUCUUAAUGGGAUCAAGCGUGUUUAACGCUUUGAAACAGAGCAAUAACAGGUCUGUGAUGCCCUUAGAUGUUCGGGGCUGCACGCGCGCUACAUUGAAGAACAAAGUGAGCCCUCUGGCUUUUAACAAAGCUAGAAAUCUUUUAAUGUUCUUCUUAAUGGGGAUAGGGGAUUGCAAUUGUGCCCCUUGAACGAGGAAUUCCCAGUAAGUGCUAGUCAUUAGCUAGUACUGAUUACGUCCCUGCCCUUUGUACACACCGCCCGUCGCUACUACCGAUUGAAUAGUUUAGUGAGAUCAUCUGAGUGUUUGUAUGUGCAUUCUGUGCUUGUAUGGUGUACGAAGAAGAUCAAACUUGAUUAUUUAGAGGAAGUAAAAGUC